CUCAUAUAAGAUAAAUAGCAGCCAGUUUUUAAAAAAAUCAUAUACCCUUGCUAUCUGCAACCUAGUUCGUCAGUGUCCUUUUUUAAAAUUUUUGCAGAGAAACUAACCCAUUUAUGUCUCAAUAUCAGUUUUUCUUUUUUUUUUUCAGUUUUCAAAUCUAUAAUCUAACUGUUCUAGAGUCUACAGAAUACUAAUCAUCAUUAUCAGUAAUUUCCUUUAGUGCAAGAGGUGAAAAAAAAAUACCGCAGGGUGGUGACCUGCCAGAAGAAACUGAAUUGAUUGGUUCAGUGGUUGACUUUCUUCAUCAGAGGAUAUGGUUAAGUAAGCGAUAGGGCAAAAUUAUAUUUCACACGCCUACUGCCCUUGUCAUAGUAAACUAUGAGGAGAAUUAGAAUGGCAGAAUAUAGAGCAGGUUUUCUGAAACUGGCUUGUAUCUGGAUGGCAAUUCUGAUGUACGGCUUGGAUGCAACAAAGAAACAUGCUGGAGGUGCAUCGUGCAGUCCCAAACACCUGACAGCCCUGACCGAAAGCCUGGUCAAUGAAAGCUUGAGAUGCUUUGAUGAAGCCAAUGGAAAACACCUUGGUAUUUGGUCCCCUGGCUUCCCUGAGCUCCACGUCCAGAAGAGCUCUCCUCCUAAUUGGACAAAAGUUCAUUGCAGCUUCCUCUUCAUGUAUGAAGGCCUCAAUGACAUCUUGGAGGACCAGAAAAACAACGUGAAUCCCCAAAAUAUUUCACUUCACAAGAAGCUCCAGGAAACCAUUGAAAGGAUUAAAAUGCUUGCAAAUUGUAUAAACAACAUCUUUAAUAGUACAUGUUCCUCAAAGCCAUCACCACCUAAAAUGCCUAAACAUGUAUUUGAGAGGAAACAGUGGAGUCAUACCCUGCUAAAGGCAGCCAGGGAUUACCUGGUAUGGCUGGAGAAAAAGUUUGUUUCAUAUGUUAGAGGAAGAAAAAAUGGGAAAAGUAAAGUAACAAAGACCCAGCCUCAUAAGUACCUGGAGGGGAGUGGAUACCUGCUCUGAUUAUUAACAAGUUUAGCUGAGUUUGUGGUGAAAAUGUGGUUAUAGUUUGUGGCAGCUUUUCUUUAGACCCCCAUCCUAGACUUUUAAAUACUAUUUUUUCAUGCAUUCAGUAUGCUGUUAAGCAUUAAGGAUCUUUACAGUGUCUCUCUUUAAUAUAUCUGAUAUUUCAGUACAAACAUAACAAUCGACAUGGUUAAAAUAGCCAAAGAGGGUUUUUUUUAAAUAAAAUCUCUGAAGGGUGUACUUUGACAUUUUGGGAAAUUGAGCUGUUUUUAUUAUGUUAAAUGAGAAAGUACAUGCAAAUGUCUAAUCUACAGAACAUAUAUUAAGUAAGCCACAACUGGGGAGGCAAUUAUCCAAGCUUAAACCUGACAGAAAAAAAAAAAUAUGUGAAAAUGUGGAAAUCGCUGCUUUUGUCUGCUAUCACCCAAAUCCACCAAUCGGCACCUCUUCACAAAUGUAAACCGGAGUACUGCUGCGCUAACAGCUGGAUCUUUUAUUGCUUUACCAAUCUUUAUCUUUUUCUAACUGGCUGCUAUUUGACGCUUCACAUUUGAUAUCACAGGUGUGAAUGAUAACAACCAUCUCAACAAAUUCUAAUAAAGAAAAUAUCUCCGUUUACCAAAACGUCAUGUUGCUACCAUAAAAGUGUUAUCAGAAAUGUCUUUGUUCCAAACCUGAUAGCUCAAAGCAAUCAACAUGUUCCCCUGUGGCAGUAAUUAAUCAACUUGCCAACCAGGAAAAUGAGAAAUGCCUCUAAUACAUUUCCUAAUUAUGACAGUUUGUUUUCCUCAGCCUUCACAGUGAUUAAUUGUUUUGCUCUGACCAACUAUCCCUUGUGUGGGGGCUACAUUGCCUGAGGUAGAAAGAAACAGAUAGCAAUAACUUACAGAGAGCCAUUAGUUUGGACUCCAAAUAACAUAAAGAAACAAUGAGGUUGUAUUAAAUGUUUGUAUAUUUUCAAAUCUUAAUCAAAUUUUGAUUUUUAUACUGUAAUUUAUACUGAAAUUCCUUGCAUUAUCUUUCUUUUCUGUGGACCAUAUAUUUAUUCACCAUAACUAUUGAUUUUUUUAAAAUAAAAACAAAACAGCUGUUAUUUCAAAUGAUCUGUCUUGUUUGAUUUUCUUCCCGGUGCUUUAGAGCCAC
ensembl:lncRNA